rnacentral:rRNA from 1 species
GACGAACGCUGGCGGCGUGCCUAAUACAUGCAAGUAGAACGCACAGUUUAUACCGUAGCUUGCUACACCAUAGACUGUGAGUUGCGAACGGGUGAGUAACGCGUAGGUAACCUGCCUGGUAGCGGGGGAUAACUAUUGGAAACGAUAGCUAAUACCGCAUAAUAUUGAUUAUUGCAUGAUAAUUAAUUGAAAGGUGCAAUUGCACCACUACCAGAUGGACCUGCGUUGUAUUAGCUAGUAGGUGAGGUAACGGCUCACCUAGGCGACGAUACAUAGCCGACCUGAGAGGGUGAUCGGCCACACUGGGACUGAGACACGGCCCAGACUCCUACGGGAGGCAGCAGUAGGGAAUCUUCGGCAAUGGACGAAAGUCUGACCGAGCAACGCCGCGUGAGUGAAGAAGGUUGUCGGAUCGUAAAGCUCGGUUGUAAGAGAAGAACGGGUGUGAGAGUGGAAAGUUCACACUGUGACGGUAUCUUACCAGAAAGGGACGGCUAACUACAUG